rnacentral:rRNA from 1 species
UACGUAGGGGGCGAGCGUUGUCCGGAUUUAUUGGGCGUAAAGAGCUCGUAGGCGGUUUGGCAAGUCGGGUGUGAAAACUCCGGGCUCAACUCGGAGACGCCACUCGAUACUGCUAUGACUCGAGUCCGGUAGGGGAGUGCGGAAUUCCUGGUGUAGCGGUGAAAUGCGCAGAUAUCAGGAGGAACACCGGUGGCGAAGGCGGGUCUCUGGGCCGAUACUGACGCUGAGGAGCGAAAGCGUGGGGAGCGAACAGG